rnacentral:rRNA from 1 species
UUAACGCGAAAGACCUUACCAGGUCUUGACAUCCCUUGCUAAUCCUAGAAAUAGGACGUUCCCUUCGGGGACAAGGUGACAGGUGGUGCAUGGUUGUCGUCAGCUCGUGUCGUGAGAUGUUGGGUUAAGUCCCGCAACGAGCGCAACCCUUAUUAUUAGUUGCCAGCAUUUAGUUGGGCACUCUAGUGAGACUGCCGGUGACAAACCGGAGGAAGGUGGGGAUGACGUCAAAUCAUCAUGCCCCUUAUGACCUGGGCUACACACGUGCUACAAUGGCAUAUACAACGAGUCGCCAACCCGCGAGGGUGCGCUAAUCUCUUAAAGUAUGUCUCAGUUCGGAUUGUAGGCUGCAACUCGCCUACAUGAAGUCGGAAUCGCUAGUAAUCGCGGAUCAGCACGCCGCGGUGAAUACGUUCCCGGGUCUGUACACACCGA